AAGAAGGAAAAUCAUCUACUGCCAAUCCCCUCAAACCUCUAAAAAAUUAGGUUUCAAAAGGCAUAAAAAGAAAAAAAAAUGUAAUUGCAGGCAUUUAACUGUAGGCACUUAAAUUUGUAAAUGUAGACACUGGCUCUAAGUAUAUCCAGUGUAACGAUCUACAAAUUGCUUGGUUCAAUUUGAAUGUGGUCAACUGAAAAGAAAACAGUGGGUCCUCUUCGUAGUACAUUUAUUGAAUGGAGAAGAAUAUGACUUUAUGUGUGGGGAAGACAAUGAUGUCAUGUAUAAGAAUAUGUACAAAAGCAUAU
rnacentral:lncRNA from 1 species